GACGAACGCUGGCGGCGUGCUUAACACAUGCAAGUCGAACGGAAAGGCCCUGCUUUUGUGGGGUGCUCGAGUGGCGAACGGGUGAGUAACACGUGAGUAACCUGCCCUUGACUUUGGGAUAACUUCAGGAAACUGGGGCUAAUACCGGAUAGGAGCUCCUGCUGCAUGGUGGGGGUUGGAAAGUUUCGGCGGUUGGGGAUGGACUCGCGGCUUAUCAGCUUGUUGGUGGGGUAGUGGCUUACCAAGGCUUUGACGGGUAGCCGGCCUGAGAGGGUGACCGGCCACAUUGGGACUGCGAUACGGCCCAGACUCCAACGGGCGGCAGCAGUGGGGAAUAUUGCACAAUGGGCGGAAGCCUGAUGCAGCAACGCCGCGUGCGGGAUGACGGCCUUCGGGUUGUAAACCGCUUUCGCCUGUGACGAAGCGUGAGUGACGGUAAUGGGUAAAGAAGCACCGGCUAACUACGUG
rnacentral:rRNA from 1 species